GAUGAAGAACGUAGUGAAAUGCGAUAAGUAGUGUGAAUUGCAGAAUUCAGUGAAUCAUCGAAUCUUUGAACGCACAUUGCGCCCCUUGGUAUCCCGAGGGGCAUGCCUGUUCGAGCGUCAUUUCACCACUCAAGCCUGGCUUGGUGUUGGGCGACGUCCUCUUUGGGGACGCGCCUCGAAACGCUCGGCGGCGUGGCACCGGCUUUAAGCGUAGCAGAAUCUUUCGCUUUGGAAGUCGGGGCCCCGUCUGCCGGAAGACCUGCUCGCAAGGUUCACCUCGGAUCAGGCAGGGAUACCCGCUGAACUUAAGCAUAUCAAUAAGCAGAGGA
rnacentral:misc_RNA from 1 species